CAGUAGCCGCGGGAAUACGUAGGGUGCAAGCGUUAAUCGGAAUUACUGGGCGUAAAGCGCACGCAGGCGGUCUGUCAAGUCAGAUGUGAAAUCCCCGGGCUUAACCUGGGAACUGCAUUUGAAACUGGCAGGCUAGAGUCUUGUAGAGGGGGGUAGAAUUCCAGGUGUAGCGGUGAAAUGCGUAGAGAUCUGGAGGAAUACCGGUGGCGAAGGCGGCCCCCUGGACAAAGACUGACGCUCAGGUGCGAAAGCGUGGGGAGCAAACAGGAUUAGAGACCCCGGUAGUCCCCUGUCUCUUAUA
rnacentral:rRNA from 1 species